AUUGAACGCUGGCGGCAUGCUUUACACAUGCAAGUCGAACGGCAGCACGGGGGCAACCCUGGUGGCGAGUGGCGAACGGGUGAGUAACACAUCGGAACGUGCCCAGUUGUGGGGGAUAACCUAUCGAAAGGUAGGCUAAUACCGCAUGAGCUCGGCAAGAGGAAAGCGGGGGACUCAGCGAUGGGCCUCGCGCGACUGGAGCGGCCGAUGUCCGAUUAGCAGUUGGUGGGGUAAAGGCUUACCAAGGCGACGAUCGGUAGCUGGUCUGAGAGGAUGAUCAGCCACACUGGGACUGAGACACGGCCCAGACUCCUACGGGAGGCAGCAGUGGGGAAUUUUGGACAAUGGGGCAACCCUGAUCCAGCCAUGCCGCGUGAGUGAAGAAGGCCUGGUGUAG
rnacentral:rRNA from 1 species